CCCCAAUUAAUAUAAGCCCAGUAAUCGCUGCUUAAUUGACACGUAUAUUUCCCUGUUUAUGACUGACUUGUUUAUUACUAACACAAAAAAACGUCUAUGUAUAAGCCCACCCGUAUAUAAGCCCCCCCCUUGUUGUAUAAGCCCAUCAAAAAUCGCUUACGAAAGUAUAUAAGCCCAGGGUAUAGUCGGAGGUUUACGGUAUAUACAUAUAUCCAGGAGUCUCAACAACUUUGUAAUUCUUGCGCAUAAGCGAUAGAGCCAAUCCCAAUGAGCGCAGAAAUAAAGGACAAAACAAGGCCGAAAAAGUUUACAUCUUUCUCCUCUUGACCGUAGUAAUUAUCCCUCUUUCCAUGACAGCCGCGCAGGUUCUUUGCAAAGCAAACGCACUGCAUAACAGCGCCACAACUGCAACAGCAUGCAAAUAUAAAAUCCAUAGAAUCGAGGCAGCUUCUUACAGUGCCAAAUUUGGAGGAUAUAAUAUCGUUGCCAAGGCCGACCUGAAACAUAUUCACUACUCCCUCUAGCACAGAAAAAUUCAGCUCGCGCAAGAGAACUGUUGAGACGUUGAUUUUCCGGCCAAUAUCAGGUGGUUGGACCUUGCAAAGAGCGUUGAAUAAACGAUACAGAAACCACAAGUUAAACAUGGUACCGCACAGAGUGGUUGCCGCCAGUAUGUUAUCUCUACCAGGAUUUGAAUCCUUAAAAUGGUACCAGCUGAUCCAGUCACAGACAGAAUCAGCUAUAUGGUAAACUGUCAAACAAAUAUACCAAAAAACAAGCAGUCCGUCCAUGAUGAUGGAAUUGUUUACAGAACACAAAGAGGCGACCGCACUUUAUUUCCUGCUUUUAGUGUCAUAUUGCAUGUUCAAAUUUGCAAGCAAAGUUGUUUUCUAAGGAAU